rnacentral:ncRNA from 1 species
CGCGGAACGGGGGUUCCGCCAGCACACUGGUGGAUACGGUCGCCAGUCCGGUGUGCUGGGCCAAUGGCGAGACCGACCCGGGCUACG